CUUUGUUUCGCUCUGUGUGCCCAUGCUCCUUCGGGGGCGGUCAUGGAUGCGGAGAUUGGCCCUCCGUGCCUCGUGUGCGGCGGGCUUAAGCGCGGGCUGUCGGCGUCGGGUUGGGCACGACGAGUGGUGGACGGAGCACCAGCAGGAUGUCGUGGUCCCUCGUCGCCUUAAGGGGGGGCUCAAGAGACCCGGACUAGGCGAGCCGUGCUCCGUACGGGGAGGGCAGGCCGUCUCGCAGU
rnacentral:misc_RNA from 1 species